UGGUAAGGGUAAAAUUGGAAAGGAAUCAAAAGUUAAUGGCAUAAUAGUAGAUAUGUUGAAGUGUUAGGGGCAAAAUGGGAAUUUAAUAAUAUUAAACAAAGGUGAAUAGUGCUUUGAUGUGAUUUAAAUGGGGUGGUUGGUGGCUCACGGGAAUGAAGCAGAGAGAAGAAAGGGAGGGUUUCUCAGGCGACAAAGAGGAAGAAAAAGAAGAAGAGGAAAGGAAAGGAAGAAAGGAAGAGGAAGAAGAAGAAGAAAAAGAAAGGGAAAGGAAUUCCAGGUGCACUUCCAGCUGAAGGGAAAAUUGUAGAUCUCCUUCUCCUCUACGCAAGGACCUCGAUUUCCAAAAAGAAAAAGGUAAAUAUCCAUCCCUAUCUAGUCUUUUGAUGACAUUAGGCUAUACAAAGGAUGG
rnacentral:lncRNA from 1 species